rnacentral:tRNA from 282 species
GGAGGGAUGCCCGAGUGGUUAAAGGGGACGGACUGUAAAUCCGUUGGCUCAGCCUACGUUGGUUCAAAUCCAACUCCCUCCACCA